GAUGAACGCUAGCGGCAGGCCUAAUACAUGCAAGUCGAGGGGCAGCGGGUGUAGCAAUACAUGCCGGCGACCGGCGCACGGGUGCGUAACACGUAUAUAAUCUACCUUUUACUGGAGAAUAGCCCGAAGAAAUUCGGAUUAAUACUCCAUAAUAUUAUUGGAAGGCAUCUUUUGAUAAUUAAAGUUCCGACGGUAAAAGAUGAGUAUGCGCGAUAUUAGCUAGUUGGUGAGGUAACGGCUCACCAAGGCGACGAUAUCUAGGGGUACUGAGAGGUUACACCCCCACACUGGUACUGAGACACGGACCAGCCUCCUACGGGAGGCAGCAGUAAGGAAUAUUGGACAAUGGUCGCAAGACUGAUCCAGCCAUGCCGCGCGCAGGAUGAAUGCCCUAUGGGUUGUAAACUGCUUUUAUACGGGAAUAAACCCGGGUACGUGUACCCGGCUGAAUGUACUGUAAGAAUAAGGGUCGGCUAACUUCGUGCCAGCCGCCGCCGUAA
rnacentral:rRNA from 1 species